AUGCCGACCUCCACCCUUUGUGAACCCCUCGUUGCUUCGGGGGCGACCCCGCCGUUCGCGCGGUCGGGGGCGCCCCCGGAGGCCAUCGAACACUGCGUAAUUUUGCGUCGGAGUUUAAAUCAAAUUAAACAAAACUUUCAACAACGGAUCUCUUGGUUCUGGCAUCAAUGAAGAACGCAGCGAAAUGCAAUAAGUAAUGUGAAUUGCAGAAUUCAGUGAAUCAUCAAUCUUUGAACGCACAUUGCGCCCCUUGGUAUUCCGAGGGGGAUGCCUGUUCGAGCGUCAUUACACCACUCAAGCCUGGCUUGGUAUUGGGUGCCGCGGGCCUCCCGCGCGCCUCAAAGUCUCUCCGGCUGACCGGCUCCGUCUCUAAGCGUUGUGGCAACUAUUCGCGGUGAGAGGGGGCGGCGCGGCCGUUAAACUUUUCUUAAGG
rnacentral:sRNA from 1 species